rnacentral:rRNA from 1 species
GAUGAACGCUGGCGGCGUGCCUAAUACAUGCAAGUCGAGCGAACGGACGAGAAGCUUGCUUCUCUGAUGUUAGCGGCGGACGGGUGAGUAACACGUGGAUAACCUACCUAUAAGACUGGGAUAACUUCGGGAAACCGGAGCUAAUACCGGAUAAUAUUUUGAACCGCAUGGUUCAAAAGUGAAAGACGGUCUUGCUGUCACUUAUGGAUGGAUCCGCGCUGCAUUAGCUAGUUGGUAAGGUAACGGCUUACCAAGGCAACGAUGCAUAGCCGACCUGAGAGGGGGAUAGGCCACACUGGAACUGAGACACGGUCCAGACUCCUACGGGAGGCAGCAGUAGGGAAUCUUCCGCAAUGGGCGAAAGCCUGACGGAGCAACGCCGCGUGAGUGAUGAAGGUCUUCGGAUCGUAAAACUCUGUUAUUAGGGAAGAACAUAUGUGUAAGUAGCUGUGCACAUCUUGACGGUACCUAAUCAGAAAGCCACGGCUAACUACGUG